GUCUCCACCAAUUGUAAUUGUGAAUUCGACUACGUCUUAGUCCACUUACUUAAUUCAAAAGCAAGUUAAUGGAGCAACGAUAAUUCAAGAUGUAAGUUCGCCACAAAAAUUACAAACAAUAAGCCCGUUGCCACAACGUCUUGUCAAUUGGUGGCAAUGGUAUCAGCAAUUGACAGGGAUGGAUAAAGUUGAAAUAGCAAAGC
rnacentral:misc_RNA from 1 species